rnacentral:lncRNA from 1 species
CGGUCCAGUGGAUUGACCCAUUAGAUAUUUUAAUAUCUGUUACUUUGACUUGUGAUGAUUAAAAAGCAUGACAGUUGACCAAAGCUCCUGCCAUGCAUUAAUGUGGAUGGGAUCAUAGCCGGCCGACGGUAGAAAACAGUGGCCAAAAGCAGUGGAUAAACCAUACGCAGUCGGCAGAACCCAUCAGAUCAGAGGGGUGUGUCAGGUAGUAGUGGGUGGCACAGUAAUCCAAGCAGAGAUAGUAUAACCUAGCAAGGAG